AUGAUACAUGACCACAUGCUUUUGGACCAGAUUUUGGCUUGUAGAAUAUUGCUAAUAUUGUGUGCAUGCAUUUGGACGCUAACAGAUUUGACCUUUCAUUUCUCAGACAGGGACAGCCCGGCAGGACGAUGCCUCCAACCUCUGCUUACAUUGCAAUUGUCCCAGCCACCCUCCAACAGCAGCUUGAGGUACAGUGUGGACGCACGCUUUCUCUUGAUGAAUAAUGAACAUGUAGCUCUUGAAGUCGUCGCGCACGCCGCCCGGGAAUAUACCUCGGCGAGAUUUGACAUUCCUGAUAUCGGAAUGCAUGAACACCCAUACAGGCAACUUAGUCAGAACGGCAUGGUAGCUGGCUGA
rnacentral:rRNA from 1 species